AUACAGAGGGUGCGAGCGUUAAUCGGAAUUACUGGGCGUAAAGCGCGCGUAGGCGGCUUAUUAAGUCAGAUGUGAAAUCCCCGGGCUCGACCUGGGAACUGCAUCUGAUACUGGUAAGCUAGAGUUUUGGAGAGGGAAGUAGAAUUUCAGGUGUAGCGGUGAAAUGCAUAGAGAUCUGAAGGAAUACCAGUGGCGAAGGCGACUUCCUGGCCAAAAACUGACGCUGAGGUGCGAAAGCGUGGGUAGCAAACGGGAUUAGAUACCCUAGUAGUCC
rnacentral:rRNA from 1 species